UAAGGAAUAUUGGACAAUGGAGGCAACUCUGAUCCAGCCAUGCCGCGUGAAGGAAUAAGGCCCUAUGGGUUGUAAACUUCUUUUAGACGGGACAAAACCCCUUUACGUGUAAAGGGUUGAUGGUACUGUCAGAAUAAGCAUCGGCUAACUUCGUGCCAGCAGCCGCGGUAAUACGAAGGAUGCAAGCGUUAUCCGGAAUUAUUGGGUUUAAAGGGUGCGUAGGCGGACUGAUAAGUCAGUGGUGAAAGCCUGCAGCUUAACUGCAGAAUUGCCGUUGAUACUGUCAGUCUUGAGUACAGUUGAGGUAGGCGGAAUGUGUCAUGUAGCGGUGAAAUGCUUAGAUAUGACACAGAACACCGAUUGCGAAGGCAGCUUGCUAAGCUGUAACUGACGCUGAGGCAA
rnacentral:rRNA from 1 species